UUAGUGGAAGCGUCUGGAAAGGCGCGCGAUACAGGGUGACAGCCCCGUACACAAAAGCGCAUGUGCUGUGAGCUCGAUGAGUAGGGCGGGACACGUGGUAUCCUGUCUGAAUAUGGGGGGACCAUCCUCCAAGGCUAAAUACUCCUGACUGACCGAUAGUGAACCAGUACCGUGAGGGAAAGGCGAAAAGAACCCCGGCGAGGGGAGUGAAAAAGAACCUGAAACCGUGUACGUACAAGCAGUGGGAGCACAGGUUUACCUGUGUGACUGCGUACCUUUUGUAUAAUGGGUCAGCGACUUAUAUUCUGUAGCAAGGUUAACCGAAUAGGGGAGCCGGAGGGAAACCGAGUCUUAAYYGGGCGUUAAGUUGCAGGGUAUAGACCCGAAACCCGGUGAUCUAGCCAUGGGCAGGUUGAAGGUUGGGUAACACUAACUGGAGGACCGAACCGACUAAUGUUGAAAAAUUAGCGGAUGACCUGUGGCUGGGGGUGAAAGGCCAAUCAAACCGGGAG
rnacentral:rRNA from 2 species